CCUACGGGAGGCAGCAGUGAGGAAUAUUGGUCAAUGGCCGGAAGGCUGAACCAGCCAAGCCGCGUGAAGGACGAAGGUGCCAAGCAUUGUAAACUUCUUUUGCCAAGGGACAAAAUCACGCUCGCGUGCCUGACCGAGGGUACCUGAAGAAAAAGCAUCGGCUAACUCCGUGCCAGCAGCCGCGGUAAUACGGAGGAUGCGAGCGUUAUCCGGAUUUAUUGGGUUUAAGGGGUGCGCAGUCGGAAGUGAAAGUCCGCGGUAAAAUUGGGGGGCUCAACCCCGUCCCGCCGUUGAAACUGGGGGUCUUGAGUGGGGGAGAGGUACGCGGAAUGCGUGGUGUAGCGGUGAAAUGCAUAGAUAGCACGCAGAACUCCGAUUGCGAAGGCAGCGUGCCGGCGCGCAACUGACGCUCAGGCACGAAAGCGUGGGUAUCGAACAGGAUUAGAUACCCGUGUAGUC
rnacentral:rRNA from 1 species